UCUCUCCGCAUAGGUAGCUCGCUAUGUAUACCCUGAACUUUCUCCCAAAGAUGAAUAUGAAAGAAAUAUUGGUCCUGUACAAAAUAAAGGAUUCAAUUCAUAAGCACUUGAAAGCACAUUUAAGUAGAUCUGACAAAAACACUAACCAACAACCUUUAAAUGUCUAACAACAAUAUAAAUUCGUAAUGAUAUACCUUCAGUUUAGAAUUGACUCGCAUGAGUUGUCCCGCCAGGUUCAAAGUCUCCGAGGAUUAAUGCAUCAUGGACGACGACACGCAGCAAACACACUGUCGAUAAGACCAAUGUUGCGAUGCUCCACCAAGUGUUCAAGCACUAGACCGCCACCAGUAGCUGCUGCUAUGAUCUAGUAUGACG
rnacentral:lncRNA from 1 species